rnacentral:rRNA from 1 species
GUCAGUCUUUGUCCAGGGGGCCGCCUUCGCCACCGGUAUUCCUCCAGAUCUCUACGCAUUUCACCGCUACACCUGGAAUUCUACCCCCCUCUACAAGACUCAAGCUUGCCAGUUUCAAAUGCAGUUCCCAGGUUGAGCCCGGGGAUUUCACAUCUGACUUAACAAACCGCCUGCGUGCGCUUUACGCCCAGUAAUUCCGAUUAACGCUUGCACCCUCCGUAUUACCGCGGCUGCUGGCACGGAGUUAGCCGGUGCUUCUUCUGCGAGUAACGUCAAUCGCUAAGGUUAUUAACCUUAACGCCUUCCUCCUCGCUGAAAGUACUUUACAACCCGAAGGCCUUCUUCAUACACGCGGCAUGGCUGCAUCAGGCUUGCGCCCAUUGUGCAAUAUUCCCCACUGCUGCCUCCCGUAGGAGUCUGGACCGUGUCUCAGUUCCAGUGUGGCUGGUCAUCCUCUCAGACCAGCUAGGGAUCGUCGCCUAGGUGAGCCAUUACCCCACCUACUAGCUAAUCCCAUCUGGGCACAUCUGAUGGCAUGAGGCCCGAAGGUCCCCCACUUUGGUCUUGCGACGUUAUGCGGUAUUAGCUACCGUUUCCAGUAGUUAUCCCCCUCCAUCAGGCAGUUUCCCAGACAUUACUCACCCGUCCGCCGCUCGUCACCCGAGAGCAAGCUCUCUGUGCUACCGCUCGACUUGCAUGUGUUAGGCCUGCCGCCAGCGUUCAAU